CAGUUCGGAUUGUAGUCUGCAACUCGACUACAUGAAGCUGGAAUCGCUAGUAAUCGCGGAUCAGAAUGCCGCGGUGAAUACGUUCCCGGGUCUUGUACACACCGCCCGUCACACCAUGGGAGUCGGAAAUGCCCGAAGUCUGUGGCCGAACCGAAAGGAAGGAGCAGCCGAAGGCAGGUCUGAUGACUGGGGUGAAGUCGUAACAAGGUAUC
rnacentral:rRNA from 1 species